UGACACCUGCGCCCUAUUCAAGUGAGCUGGCAUGAUCGCCAGCAGGGGCAUGAUCGCCAGCUCAUAGCAGUAGCGGAUGCAGGCCGUGAUCCAGGAUGAGAUUCUCGGGGUAGACACCAGGCAACCAUUCAUUCUGUCAGCAACAGCAACAAACAAUCGUGUAGACUUACGGAACAGCUUUGUUCUAUCUACUUAGAAGGCUAGUGCCUAUCUGACAUCCAGGGCAUGCAGCCAGUAUUUCUCAUCCGUUCUAUGAAGCUUUCAACAAGGGCCCAGUAGGUAUAUGUCUUGACCAGCAUGGAACUGGGACACGACCUUGGAAAGAAAAGCCAGGUGUGGAUGCAGUCGGACCUUGUCCUUAUAGAAGAUCAUAUAAGGAGGUUCUGACACGAGUGCCCUAAUCUCGGACACCCUACAUGCUGAAGUUAUGGUGACCAAAAAGGAGAUCUUCCAGGAGAGAAGCAGGAGGGAGCAGGAAGCCAAGGGCUCAAAGAAGGGCCCCAAUAGCCUUGACAAUACAAGAUGCAGGUCCCAAGGAGUGACCAGGUCCUGGAUAAGCGGGUAAAGGCACUCCAGACGUUUCAGGAACCAUGCCUUGAAACAAAGGGCAGAAGGCCGAAAUGGCUGCCAGGUGUACCUUGACCAAAGAUAGCGACAGAUCCUGGAGCUUAAGGUGCAGCAAACAGACCAGAAUGUCCUGCAGCGGGGCCUCUUCUGGACGAAUACAGCAAUCCGAGGCCCAACACAAGAACUGUUUCCACUUUGCCACGUAGGUAGUCCUGGUGGAGAGUUUUCUGCUGCCCAGUAGGACCAGCGGAACACUGCCAUUCUUCCCCACUUAGCCACGCAGUAGCCAGGCCAUCAAGUGCAGCACCACCACGUUUGGAUGCAGUAGAUUGCUGUGGUUCUGGGAUAGAUCUGGCUAAAGAGGCAGCUGCAGAGGGGUGGCUGCUGAAAGACUCAGCAGCAUGCCGAACCAACGUAGAUGAGGCCAUGCUGGGGCUCUGAGGAUGACCAUCGCUUUGUCUUGCUUCACCUUUAGCAAGAUCCUGUGGAUUAACGAUAUCGGCGGGAAGGUGUAUAGCAGCGCUCCCAACCAUGGGAUCAGGAAGACAUCUGACAAGGAGCCCAUGUCCCUGUCCUGCAGAGAACAGAACACAUGGGACUUUCUGUUCUGCCUGGACACGAACAGGUCCACCUGGGGAGUUUCCCACCUGUGGAAAACUAGGCUGAUCAUCUCCGGAUGGAGCGACUAUUUGUAGCAUAACGAGAAGGUCCUGCUGAGGUGAUCUGCCAGGACAUUCUUGGUUCUGAGCAGGUGGGCGGCUACUAAAAGAAUGGCAUGCAGCACACAGAAGUCCCAGAGGCUGAGCGCUUCCAGACAAAGGGCCGAAGACCUGGCACCACCCUGCCUGUUGAUGUAAUAUAUCAUGACAGUAUUAUCUGUCAGGACCUGCAACACUUUGCCUUCCAGGUGGGGCAAAAAAGCCUGGCAGGCCAGGCAAACCGCUGGGAUCCUUGACAUUGAUAUGAAGGGCUAGGUCAUGUUGUAGCCAGCAGCCCUGGGUGUUUGAGCUCAUCCAGAUGGGCUCCACAACCCAGAUCCGACACAUCUGAGACCAGGGCGAGUGACAGAGAUGAGGUCGUGAAGGGGACUCCUUGCAGUACUGAUUUGGGAUCCUGCCACCAGUCCAGAGACAAGAGGACAUAGCUCAGCACCGUGGCCACUUGGUCCAGAGGGUGCCUGCUGGGAAUGUAGACUGAGGCCAGAGACCUUAGAUGAAACAGGGCGUGGUUGACCAUGUAUUUUCAUGCGGCCAUGUGGCCGAUAAGUCGUGGGAACAUGUGCACUGUGGUGAGCGGUUGGCUCUUUGAGGGAGAGCAAGUCAAUCAUGGCCUGAAAAUAUGCUUCCAGCACGAAGGCCCGGGUCUGCAUAGAGUCAAGAACCACUCCGAUAAACUCUAUGCGUUGGACUGAUGUUAAUGUGAAUUUUUCUGUAUUUAUUAACAGGCCCAGGUCGCUGCAGGUGGAGCGUACCAAAUCGAGGUUCCUUUGCACCUGCUCCGGAGAUCUGCCCUUGAUGACGCAGUCGUUGAGAUAUGGGAAGAUCUGGACCCCUCAAUGCCUCAGGCCCUUGUUUAGGAUGCCACUGUCGAGGUGGCAGAAAAGGCUGUAACAGCUGUCUCGAUGCCUGAGGAGUGUGCAUCCCCAGAGAACAGAGGGUCGCACGCGUCCUUCAGGCCGUGCAGACACGCAUUCGUUUGGUCAGAGAACAGGCUGUCACCGUCAAACAGGAGGUCCUGAAUAGAGACCUGCAUCUCCUGGAGCCAGGAACUAUGCCACAUGACCACCGCCAAGGCAACCACCCAGGCAGCUGAAUUGUCCAUGUCUCAAGCCAUUUGGAGGGAGCACCAAGCCGCUGCAGUCCCCUCUUCCCUCCACCAGGGUCACAAACUCCUGAACCAUCUCCUGGGACAUGGAAUACUUGAACUUGAGGAGACAGUCCCACAAGUUAAAGUUAUAGUGACUGAAAAGGGCCUGGUGGUUCGUCACCAAAAACUGGAGGCUGGUCGUAGAAUAAAUUUUGUGACCGAACAAAUCCAGCCUCUUGGCCUCCUUAUUUUUAGAGGUGGAACUGGUGGGCCGACGCGACAAAUGAUCUCAGAUGCAGUUGGGUGUACAAGUAAUCAAACCCCUUUGCAGGGACGAAAUACUUCUUUUCUGCCCCUCUUAGAGGUGGGCGGGAUGGAUGACGGGCUUUGCUAAAUGGUUUUGGCAAUGUUAAGGACCACCUUGUGUACUGGGAGUGUGACACAGGCUGGGGCAGAUGCCAAGAGCACAUUGUUUAAUGUGUCCAUCUGCUCCUCUAUCUCCUCCACCUAGAGGCCCAGGUUGGAAGCAACUCUGCGGAGCAGCGCCUGAGGCUCCCUAAAAUCAUCUGGAGGGCUAGCUUGAGGGGCCCGCCACCACCUCAUCCAGAGAGGAGAAGGAUGAUGAUUGGAUUACCAGGAGAGGUCUGGCAAUGUCCUCACAUGUCGGAGAGGGCGGCUUUGGGGUGGGUACCAGCUCCUCACUUGCAGCUGCUGCCGGAGCAUCCUGCACCCAACCCAGUGCCAUGGAUGCCAACUUUGGCCUGUCUGACAUGGUGACCAAGGUUUUGCAGGAGUGGAGCAACAGCAUGACGCGAACGCCCCAGGCAUUCCAAUAAAGCCAUAGGGUUGGCCCCUGGCCCUGCUGCCAGGUCAGAACCGAUACCUCGGAUGCGCCCUCUGGAGCCCAAUCACGAUGCUGUCUGGGCAAGGGGCUGAACUGCGCCUUCCAAGCUGGAGAAGUUGUCACCCUCCAGUGACCAAGGUGGGGCUGUGGAGGCUUAGGUCUGGCGGCUUACCGUUGCCGCCGGUGAUCGGUGGCAGGAACAGUCUGACCGGUGCCAGGACUAGGGCGAGUGGUGCUGCAUUGGGGAGUGACCAGGAGAUCUUGGCGAUGGCGACCAAAAACACGACGAAGACCAGUGCUGGGGAGAUUUUUGACACCUGGGCAAGCUCCAGCGAGAAGACAGGAAUUGGGAGCGUCACGCCGGAGACCUGGACUGACGCAGAGACCAAGAACGUGGUGACCUAGGGCUCUGUCUUGGCUCUGGAGACCGGUAGCGCUCGCUUGUUUUGUGUGAGGCCUUGCUGGUGGGCUUGCAUUCACGGAGAGCCUUACCCGGUUCCAUUUCUGCCUGCAGUGAAACCUGCAGUGGAGGCACUCUUAGCUCUCCAGGAACUGGGGGCUCAGAGGGCGUCAACUGUGCCGUCGGUUUGGGCCCCUUACUGUUCCCUGAAGUCAGUGGCAGGUUCUUUCCAGGGGAUGAACUCCCCAGGGCUGAGCCCUUUUGUGUGUCCAGAGUGGGUGUAAGGUCUUAGCCGGGUCCUUUGCCCAGCACCCCUUGGUCGGGCUUGUUCGGUGCCAUCUUCUUCAUCACUGGGAAUCGGUGCCAGGAGAAGCAUAGUGCCAGGGUGCACUAUGCACCAUAGUUGACACGCUGGGUGCUGGUUUGGGCUGUGCCUGCUCCAAACCUGGGCGUUGGGAAGCACUGCAUCAGGAGGGCCUUGAGGCAUAUGUCGUGCUCUCUUUGUGUCCAAGGAUGAAAGUUCUGGCAGAUGCGACAGCGCUCCUUUAUGUGGGAUUCCCUGAGGAACUGUAGACAUCUCUUGUCCAGGUCACUAACAGGCACAGGCCUGUUACACAAAGAGCAGGGCUUGAAACCUGGAGACCGGGGCAUGCCUCGCCUGAGACAAAGUCCCCACUGGGACACUAUCUAACUAAACACUUAACUGCUAACUAACAAUGAUUAAACUAUUUACAGUUGAAGCACAAGGCUAAGAUAGAAGAGAAACCUCUGAUCGCCUGGGAAGCAAAGGACAGAGGUGCUCUGACUGACCGCCGCAGGUGGUAGGAAGGAACUAAGAGGGCACAGGGCUGGCAGCACCUGAUAUACCGUGGCAUGAAUGUGGCACUCCAGAGAGUGCCACAGCUGGCCCUACGGGAACCGCUAAGGCAAAAGUCGCUGACGACCGCACACAUGGCUGUGCACACACCUACAAUGGAAUCAACAUGAGCAAGCACUUCAAGAACAAUAAAAAAUUAGUAGAUUUUUUUUAAAUAAUUAUUUUUUAAAAUAUAAAUAUGUACAGAUAAUGUAUAUGUAUAGAUAUAAUUUUAAAAGUUGUGAGAAUCUUUAACAUUAGCCAUUCUAUCAGAUAGAUAUUUUCCUUUACCUUAUUAGGGAAGUGAAAUAAUACUUCACAUUUUUCAGAAGGGGAGGGAAGAAAAAAGUAGAGAGAUAUGGGUGGAAGGAGAAAUAUGUAUAUAAAUUAAAAGCUAAAGCUAAUGAAAAUAUAUUGAUUGUUAGAACAAGUAAAAUGAUAGUUCAGCAUUAUACGUAGAGAAAUGCAUACAUUUUUAACUCAGAAACUGAAUGGUCAUAAUAUGCAAUAAUGUCCUUAGUGCAGCCUUGUAAAUUAUGAAAAUUUACUAUCAGGUGCAAAAUCUACUUGCCCAUCUUCACCAUGAUUAUAAUGGGAGGAAAUAUUUUAUUUCCUUCAGGUGAGUGAGCAACUAGAAUUCAAUGUUGAUUUAGCACAUAUAAUAAUCAUGUGAGGUGAUCAAAAUGCUAAGCUUUCUAAAAUGAAUAUGCAUUCUUGUCAGAUAUUUAUUUUGAUUAAUCAGCGUUUUAGAUAUGCUAAUUUUACUAAUGGACAUUGGCUCAGUAAAAAUUGCUCACUAUACCAUUAUUGGAAAAAAACAACAACUAUAUUGUCUUAGUGAGCAGCUCAUUACAGGGAUCGUUCAAACAAUUUUUAAAAAAUACAUUUUAUUAAUUAGAAGUUUAAAGAACUUUGCUCUCAAUAAUAAAAUCAAUCUAUUACUUUGGAAUGAUUUUUAGGUGUAACAAACAAACAGUGCAAAUCAAAAUGUUAUUAAUGCUUCAAAAUGAAUUAAUAUGAUAAAACAGUAAAAUAAACUUACUGGUUCAGUAAGCGUGCUGUCCUUUUCUAAAAAUUGAACUACACAGUAUGCCAACUAAAUAAAAAAAGAUAAAGUGUAUAUUAAACAGUUAAACCAAAGUAUUUCAAUGUAAGCAUAUGCCACAUACAAAUUUUAACAUUAAAAAUUCGAGAAUAGUUCCAAAUUCAGGUAAAAACACCUUCAUCUAUUCCAUGUAGUAAAAAUAUUUGAAUAAUUUUUAUUCCUGUAUUUUCAGACACACUUUAAACAGCAAUGGUACAUCAUACUUUCAAAGUAUGAAAUAUAAUAUUUUGAGUUACAGUAGAUCUUUAAUGAUGUUUUGACAAUAUUUAAUUUGACUAAUAUCCCACUACUAUUUUCACAUUCUUUUCUGCUGGCUUAUGAACAUACUCAGUCUCAUGAUUGUUCAAAAAAUUAAGUUCCUUAAUGUUGUUCCUUGAAAAAAGCCAAGACAUCUUUAUGUCAAACUUUAUAUUUUUUUGCCUCACAAAAAGAAAGAACUUAUCAGUAAUUAUGUUUACUGUAAUUUCCUCUUCCCAGUAACUGAAUGUGGUAUGUUUCCACUUAUCAGAAAUCACGGAGAUAAAAAUACUGGGUCUUUCCAGAAUAUACAAAGGAGCCAAUACCUCUCCUAUACAACCAACCAUGGUUCUUUCUACAAAAACAUACAACCCUAAAAAUAUGGGGGGGGAGGAGGGUAGUAUCAAGAUGCGGGAAGUGAAAACUGAUAAAGAUGACAAUAAGUAAUUCUCUCUUGUUGAAGGUCUCCUUUACCCCCAUCCUAUAAUGAACCAGAGUGCACAGAUGUGGCAACUAGCGCCAACUUAGAAAGAAGGCUUACCUCAAGUUACUGCCUAAAAAUGCUCUGUCCAUAUAUGGCCUCUUCCUCUGAGAAGAGACUGACUUUAUAGUAACACCCAAAUGUGAUAGGUACUGACCAGGAAGCAGCUCUACAGAUUUCUUGGACAGAUGCCUCAGUCCUUUCUACUCAAGAUACAUUGUAAGCCUCUGUUCAAAUGCCCUGUUAUUUCCUGUGCAGGGGUUAUCUUGUCAUCUUGUAAAUUAGGCAAAUAUUCUAAAGCCAACUUCUAGUACUGAAGUGGUCGAGGAACCUCUUUUCUUUGUUAGGGCUCUUGACAUACAGAAAUAACUGCUUGUUGAACUCUAAAGCUUUUAGUGUACUGCACAUGUCCAAAGCAUGAAGCUUCUGCUUUCACAAAAGCUUUCUGCUUUUUUCAGGGGAAAAAACUUAAUAUGCAUCUCUGAGUUAGGUUAGGAAUGAACAAACCUCCAGAAAAACAUUACAUAAGGAGGAUCAAAGAGAUUAAUUUACCAACCCUCCUAGUAACUUUUCCAACUAAAAGGGUUUUUUCACCAAGAGGGAGGAAUCAACAGUUUGCAGCAGUCAAAACCCACAGGGAUUUAUCCUCACCUGGAGAAACAAAGUUUAAAACUGCUUUUCCCCAGUAGAUUGUAAGGCUGGACAGUGAAGCUUUCUGAGAUUUAAACAAUUGAGAUACAAAGGUGAGACCCUGGCUCAUUCCUAUCCAUUGGUCCCUGGUUAUGGAAAGAGCAGAUGUGGAUUCAGAAAUCCCCUAUUAAAGUCCCCCCCCAAGCUCUUAGCAGAACAUCAACUUUUAAACAGUUUCUAGAGCCUGAUAUAUGUCCUCCUGUGGAACCCUUUUAGCACCUUAGAUUUUCAACCAGUUCCCUUUGUCAAGAACCUGUGGUAUUCACUCUGAAGGCAGUAACACUAAGUUACCUUUGGAUGAAGCAAAGUCAACCUUAUUGACAGCUUCCAACAUGGAGAGCCAGAUUCAUAAGGUCUCAGAAGAGUGCAUAAAAAGAAGACUCUUCUAUAUGCGCUACUGGAUUUUGCAAGUCUCAGCAAUGGAUGGAAUGAUGUCGCCCAAGUCUCUCCCCCAAUACACUGAAAAAACAUCCAAACCAAUGGGUUGGGUCACUGAAAGAAAACCUGGAUUUUUUUUUUUUUUUGCUGAGUUUCUGGUUGCAGACCAAUCCACUGAUGGAUGACUCUGAUGCCGAGGAAUGAACUGGAACAUCUUCAGCUUCAGGCUCUUCCAGGGUCAGCUUCUGCCGGAUGGCACAAUCCACCCAGACAUUGUCUUUAUCCUGUAAAUUAACUACUCUGAUGGAAGUCUGUAAUUUCCAUCCAAUGCAAAAGCCCAGUGCUUCUGAAAGCAGAAUCAAACUUUUAGAGUGUCCUGUUGCACUGUACAUGAAGCCUUUUGAAUAACUGAUUCAAACCUGGAACCUGACAGGUGUGAGAUUCGACAGUUUGGAGAACUCAGAAAGAACCCUCCUACCCUGUAGGCAAAGGGACUAGAGGCAUACCCGAGCCUAAAUCCCAAAAGAGAUUGCUUUCUGUACUCCAGAAAAUAAGCAUACAGCUGAUGGAAUUGGGAGAAGGUCUUCUGAUCAACUAACAUGUUUCCACUUUGCUAGAAAGAAAAUGAUCAAUCUUUAAUCAAGUCACUCACAGGGAUGCCUAGAAAAAAAACGGUUGGGAAACAAGGAAUGUAAAGGGACAGGUGGAGUGAUCAGUUGAGGCAGCAUGAUGUGAAGAACAGCCCUGAUAAUGCCCUCUAGCUAAAACUUAACACCCCCCCCAAAAAAGGCAAACUCCAGGAGAGUGAAGAGAGUGUAUGUUUUGUUUUUGUGGUGAGAUUUUUGUCCUCUGGAGCCAAUGGGCACAAGAAACCCUUCCUAUCUGACACAGGCAGAUGAAAGAGGCAGAGACUGGAUAUUUUCUUGUUACUGAAGAACAACUGUUGGCAGUUCAAAGUCUCCCUGGCUGAAAGCAGAUCACAGGAAGAUGAAUGGAGGUUGAAGCCCAAAAGACGGAAGGAAAAAUGAUGGGGAUAGAACCAUGUCUCCAACUGGGAUCCUGGUUAUACAACAAAGGAGCAGAGUGGGGAUGGCAAAGGAAAAGGCUGAUCUCGCGUGCACCCGACCUAAGACAUUGUUGAACAACUGGGAAACCUCAGUGCCUCACCAUAGGUAGAAUGGGGAGGAGGCCUGUAAGUGUUUCCCCCACAGAAGUUUUGGCUUGGCCCUGAAGCUGGUUGCUUAAGAUUCUUUCCUGUCUUUUUUUUUUGGGGUGGGGAGGGGAGAGAAGGGGGAGCUGAAAAGGACAAAUGAAGUAAAGGGCUGAGGCACAGAUUCUGUGCUCCCUGGAAGUAAUAAAAAGGAUGAAGAGAGGAAGGGAGGUUGUGACUUAAGUAUCAAUUUAAACCAGUAGAACUGUUCCAAGGUGCAUGCAAUUUGUUUGAAUUGGACUCACUGGUUAAGAGUCAGGUGUCUUGUCUUAUAAAAAAUCGUCAAUAUACAAUUUCUCAUAUAAUGUAAAUAUGGAAUGCUCUGAAUUUUCUGGGAACUGGGUUGCAGUUGGAGAAAAGAAACAUACGGUCUCUAAUUCAUCAGAGAACAUGAGGAAGAUAAGCCAACGAAGGCUAAUUUUAAACAUAUUUUAUAUAUAGGUGGGAAGAAAAAAAUUCACACAUUAUCUGAAAGAAUUAAAUUAGUUAAAAGAAUAAAAAAAAGCAAAUUCUAGAAUGCAUUACCUUCAAAUAUUAUACUUAAAGAUUAAGGGAUGAGUUUUGGUGGUUUUAUCCUAAUCUUCAUUUGUAUAAUGUUUUUCUAAUAUACACAACGUGUCACAAUGGCACUUUUUGAUCAUGGUCCAGCAUUGAAGUAAUGUCAGAACAAGGUGUUACAAAGUCAGGACUCAUGUUCAUUGGGAGUAGCAUGGGGAACACUGCAUAGCACCUGUAAACCAAUCCUAUUUAGUCCUUCGCUUUCAUACUAACUAAGUUCCGUCAAAAGAUCAAUGAAAUACAUGAAGGAUUUGAGACAAAUGUCAAAGCAUGGAUUUAUUGUAAAUUCCUUAUUUCUUGGUUUUUGUCAGAUCCCUGACAAACAGCUACUCUCCUUUUUUGCUUUGUUCCAACUAGAUCAUCUUCUGAUGGAAGCAGCAGCAAGUUAAAGGUUUGAUGCAUUUAUGCCAGAAAUAUUACUUUGAGUUCCAAUAGAUGCAUGAAUGAGAAAUUUAUUACCUGAUAAUUUUCUCUCUGUUACCAGCUUCUCUCUGAAUUCGUUACUCAGGGGCUAAUGCCCCCUCCACCUGUGGAAUUUGGAGGUGGAUCAAUAUUGUUGCUGGAGGCUCCAGCAUUAUGAUUUGACCUUCAGCUCAGGUCAUCAAAAAGUUCUUAUUACAGCUAUAGAAACACUACAGUAACAAUUAUUAAUAUUAUGACAACUUGAUACAAUGUACUAAUGUAUUAGAAAAAAAAUUCUAUUUAUAUUCUGGUCAUUUACCAGACUACCAUGGUGGUUGAAUUUGGAGAGAAGCUCUAGGAAUGCCCAUUUAUGCCCCAACCAUCCAAGAGUUAGAACAGAAUGAAGAGAAAACUAUUCCACCAAUUGUGUAAAGAGGAACUUGCCUUGAACAGAAAGGUUUCUGGAGCUACAAGAACUUUUUCCUCAUGACAAAAGCAGUGUGAUUCCCGUAUGGCUAUAGGAAGUAAUUCUAAAACUUGCCUUUUUGAGGUAAUGGCAACUAGAAAGAAUAGCCACACACUUGUCUAAUUUAAUCAUUGCGAUUAAAAGUGGCACCUACACUCAAAUGGAAGAUCCAAUGUGCCUGUCCACAAAUACUGCUAUGGCUCAUGUCAUGUUCCUAUGGUGCCUAGUUAUAGGACUCUAAUCAAAUCUUCUAGCCGAGGUCACUAGAAUUUGGGGAUUAUAAUAUUUGCAUAACAGGAGCAUCCAGAGGUCAGGGCUCCCUUGUGCUAGGCACUGCACAAAGAGGCAAAUUCCUGCCUCAAAGAGUUUUGUUUUUCCUCAGACCUGAAAUGCAAAUUUGACCAGAUCAGUGAAUGAAUGAAAUAUCCUGGUUGAGUUCUGUCAGGAUACUAAACUGUAUCAGAGGUUAAUGGAGAAUCCAUAUUGAACUACACUUUUCUUCUGAUGCCCAAGUUCUUAACUGUAAGCGUCUCCAAUCUGAAUGAAGGAGUCCCUGUUUCAAAAGGUCUGAUGUUUUCUGCAGGUACAAUGUAGGGUUCUUGGCUAUCUAGCAAGUCUAAAGUGCUUUCUGGGCUGUGGAGGACUAAAAGGAGCACCACAACUCUUCCUAUUCCUGUUUUUGUAUCCUUUAUGUGAACCAUCUUGAAGGGUAACAGUCUUUAACUAGAACAUUAUUUCCAUUGCCACGGAAAAGCUUUGAUCUCUGAUUAAUCCCUGGUUUUGGAAUUGAUAGAAACACUCAUGUCUCAAUCAUAAUACAACCCCUAAUGGGAAGUAGGAGGAGACUUCCUUUGAGAGUACCAUAAUUGCCCACUACGUGGUUUAUUGCACCGUUUACUGAUGCAGUUGGUACUGGUCACUAGUCAAGAUGGACCACUGAUCUGAUCCCGUCACCGUGUUUGCAUGUUUUGCUGUUUCUUUUUUCUUUUUCAAUAAAGAUAUACCCUGAUAAAGAUCUUGAAAUGAACCAAAUGAUUUUGAAAAAAUUGUAUUCCAAGUAUGCUUGCUUCCAUAGUGAGUAAGUAAGGGUCUAGAACAAAAGUUGGGUGGCUUUCAGCAUGUUUGCAUUUUGGAAAAGAAUCAGCACACUUCAGUGUACAGAACUGUUGGAGAUGCGUGCCCUCAGAAAUCCUAGCGAGACAGCACCAGUGAGGAAACAGUAAUUUUCACAAACCUCACAAUCCUUUGAGGUUACAAAGGACUGUGGUAUAGGGGCGGUUGCAGGAUAAUUUUUAGACUAUUUUGUGAGUUGCCGAGGAAAAAAAUCCCCACAAAAACCACAGCUGUUCUUAACUGGCCAUUUGAUUCUUCAUCCCAGACUUAUUUUGGUC